rnacentral:rRNA from 1 species
AGGACGAACGCUGGCGGCGUGCUUAACACAUGCAAGUCGAGCGGAAAGGCCCUUCGGGGUACUCGAGCGGCGAACGGGUGAGUAACACGUGAGCAACUUGCCCUUAGCUUCGGGAUAGCUCCGGGAAACCGGAAUUAAAUACCGAAUAUGACUUUGGCUGACAUCAGCAGAAGUGGAAAGUUUUUCGGCUAGGGAUGGACUCGCGGCCUAUCAGCUAGUUGGUGAGGUAACGGCCCACCAAGGCGACGACGGGUA